rnacentral:rRNA from 1 species
AAAAGUAGGGAAGCAUGUGAGCCAUGUGCCAAGAAAAGCCGCUAUAGAUCAUAUCGUACCCGUACCGUAAACCGACACAGGUAGAUGAGGAGAGAAUCCUAAGGCCGACGGGAGAAGCAUUGUUAAGGAACUCGGCAAAAUGACCCCGUAACUUCGGGAGAAGGGGUGCCCACGCGAGUGGGCCGCAGAGAAUAGGCUCAAGCAACUGUUUAGCAAAAACACAGGUCUAUGCGAAACCGAAAGGUGAGGUAUAUGGGCUGACGCCUGCCCGGUGCUGGAAGGUUAGGAGGAGGAGUCAGGCAACGAAGCUCCGAAUUUAAGCCCCAGUAAACGGCGGCCGUAACAAUAACGGUCCUAAGGUAGCGAAAUUCCUUGUCGGGUAAGUUCCGACCCGCACGAAAGGCGUAAUGAUUUGAGCACUGUCUCGACAAUGCACCCGGUGAAAUUGAAGUACCAGUGAAGAUGCUGGUUACCUGCGCCAGGACGGAAAGACCCCAUGGAGCUUUACUCCAGUUUGAUACUGGGAUUCGAUACUGAAUGUACAGGAUAGGUGGGAGGCUGAGAAGCGUGGACGCCAGUCUGCGGUGAGCCGCUGUUGGGAUACCACCCUUUGAGUAUUGGAUUUCUAACCUGCGCCCGUGACCCGGGCGGGGGACAAUGUCUGACGGGGAGUUUGACUGGGGCGGUCGCCUCCGAAAGGGUAUCGGAGGCGCUCAAAGGUUCCCUCAGAAUGGUUGGAAACCAUUCGCAGAGUGCAAAGGCAGAAGGGAGCUUGACUGUGACACCGACGGGUGGAGCAGGUACGAAAGUAGGACUUAGUGAUCCGGUGGUAUGAAAGUGGGAUUGCCAUCGCUCAACGGAUAAAAGCUACCCUGGGAUAACAGGCUUAUCACUCCCAAGAGUUCACAUCGACGGAGUGGUUUGGCACCUCGAUGUCGGCUCAUCGCAUCCUGGGGCUGUAGCAGGUCCCAAGGGUUGGGCUGUUCGCCCAUUAAAGCGGCACGCGAGCUGGGUUCAGAACGUCGUGAGACAGUUCGGUCCCUAUCCGGCGCAGGCGUAGGAUAUUUGAGAGGAGCUGUCCUUAGUACGAGAGGACCGGGAUGGACAGACCGCUGGUGUAUCUGUUGGUGACCAACACCAUGGCAGAGUAGCCAAGUCUGGCAGGGAUAAACGCUGAAGGCAUCUAAGCGUGAAGCCCCCCUCAAGAUGAGAUAUCCCAAUAAGUAAGACCCCUUAGAGAGUAUGAGGUAGAUAGGCUUAAGGUGUAAGCAUAGUAAUAUGUUCAGCUGAUAAGUACUAAUAGGUCGAGGGCUUACCAA